GACGAACGCUGGCGGCGUGCCUAAUACAUGCAAGUCGAACGCAAGGGAACACACUGUCCUUGCUCACCGUGUUUUCUUGAGUCGCGAACGGGUGAGUAACGCGUAGGUAACCUGCCUAUUAUCGGGGGAUAACUGUUGGAAACGAUAGCUAAUACCGCAUAAUAUUAAUUAUUCCAUGAUAAUUGAUUGAAAGUUUCAAGCGCAUCGCUAGUAGAUGGACCUGCGUUGUAUUAGCUAGUUGGUAAGGUAAGAGCUGACCAACGCGAAGAUAAAUAGCCGAACGGAGAGGGUGAGCGGCCACACCGGGACUGAGACACGGACCAGAUUCCUACGGGAGGGAGCAGUAGCGAAUAUUAGGAAAUGGAAGAAAGUGUGACCGAGAAACGCCGCGUGAGUGAAGAAGGUGUCCGGAUCGUAAAGCUCUGUCGUAAGUCAAGAAGGAGUGUGAGGGUGGAAAGGUCACACAGUGACGGUAGCUUACCAGAAAGGGACGGCUAACUACGUG
rnacentral:rRNA from 1 species